rnacentral:rRNA from 1 species
UACGUAGGGGGCAAGCGUUAUCCGGAUUUACUGGGUGUAAAGGGAGCGCAGACGGCAUAGCAAGUCUGAUGUGAAAACCGGGGGCUCAACUCCCGGACUGCAUUGGAAACUGUUAAGCUGGAGUGUCGGAGGGGCAAGCGGAAUUCCUGGUGUAGCGGUGAAAUGCGUAGAUAUCAGGAGGAACACCGGUGGCGAAGGCGGCUUGCUGGACGAUCACUGACGUUGAGGCUCGAAAGCGUGGGGAG